rnacentral:lncRNA from 1 species
AUUUUAAGAAAUUUGGUUCUUAAUUUUGCCAAAAAUAUCAAUUAUGAUGAAGAGAGAAAUUUUUUUUAUUUAUAUUAAAAAUAAAUUUGCUGUAAUUUCUGGCUCAAAAUUUCUGUGUAAUUGAGUCUCACUGUCCAAUUUAGUCGACUAAAUAUUGACGUACUGUUAAUAUGAUAUUUUAAUAAUUUCUGCAUUAUCGUCAAUCACAAUACUGAUAUGUCACUUCAUAUAAUCGAAUAUUAAUAUUUAGUCAACUAAAUUGAAUCAUAGAAUAAAAUUUAAGUUAGAUAUUUUAAUAAAUUAAAGUUUGAGGAUCAAAAUGUUACAUACUUCAUAGUUUGAG